GCUCAUCAAGGCCACUUCUUCAGGCAAUGGCUGGCAGCCAGUCUUUUCAAGAAGGUUGACCUACAAUUCCUGGAUUCCCUUCCCUGGUGUGUUGUUGGAGCGAGCGUGUUAGUUGUGAAUUACUGGAUGUUUGGACUCCCUUCCUUCCUGGAGCAGUAGUCCCCCCUUUUGUGUUUUUGUAUUAAUAACCUCACUGUAAAUAAACUGAACUGAACAGGUGCAGUAGAGGGGCAACAAUGAGAAAACCCCCAAAACAGAAAUGGCUUUACAGGUGGAGGCCACCUGACAUUUCUGCCCUCCAUCUUUAAAGUGUCGAUACCAGCACUAGUAUAAGUAUAUCAGAGUAAUAUUAGAUGCUAGA